UUCUUCUCUCUCCUUCCGCAUCUUCUUUCUCUUUCUCCUCUUCUCUUAUCUCUUUUGUUCUUUGUUGUUGUUGUUCACGACGCCGAGGAGUAGGGUUGGUGGUGUUCUAGCCGCCGAAGAGCAUGGUUGGUGGUGUUUAAGAUGCCCACGAGCAUGGUUGGUGGUGUUCUCGUCAAUUUCUUGCCAAAUUAUAUAAAUUAAUGGUUUUUCAUGCCCACGAGCAUGGUCGAAUUUGACUUUUAAAACCCGGGUUUUGUUGGUGAAAUUCGUUAAGGAGGUGAUUAUUCCCUUGGAGACUUUUAAUUGAUUAAAAGUGGCACAAAGGAUUGUUUUACGAGCCAAUACCUAACAAAGUUAACAAGCUGGUUAGAGGAGAACCUGUUGUCAAAUUUCACCGAGGAGAGGAUAUAGAUAAGGAGUACUCCAUCUAUUUGCUACAUAUCUCCUAUGGACAUCGGGUAGAAACCACUUUGGGAAAGGAUGGAAGGCUUUCAUGGAGGAGAACGACAUACUAGUUGAAGACAAGCUUGAAACUACAUACGAGGGAAAUAACAGCUUCCAUGUGAUUGUAUUUGGAGAUGGAGUAGAGGUCCCCAAAGCCAAUGACAAUGAUAUCAUUGUUAGUCUGAUGAUAUUUCAAGUGAUGGUAUUGGCUCCCUCUCUAAUGGGAGUGCAAUUGAUUGUACUGGCCCUGAUGAGGUUGAGGAGUACCCGAAGUUCAGCGCAACGUUCACACAACCCUACAUUAAUGUGGGUAGACUGAAUGUGCCGUUGGGCUUUGCAAGAUCUCAUUUGGACCCCCUGGGGCCUAGAACUAAAGUCAAUGUAUGGAUGAAUAAGUAGCCAUCUUUUCUGUAUGUUAAAAGGAACGAGCGUUACCAGAUCAGACUUUGCAACAUAAGGGAGGGAAUAUCAAGCAUGAUAUGGGGUUAGAAAAUCAAGAUGGGGGAAGAAGUGAUGGUGCAAAUGAUCUGCAAAUCUCCUCCGGCUUUCAAGGUGACAAGGGGUACCAUAAUUUAUUUAAACAUGAGCGUUGGUUUAGGUUUGAUCAACAAAACUUUUGAUGUGUCUAUGUGUUAACUUUUUUUAACUGUGUUCAUCCAACUGUGGCACAACUUUGUAUAUGUAAUUCUGUGAACUAAUAUUUAGAUGUGCUAAACUUUUGAUGUCUUAAACUUAACAAUAAACCCCAGCUUGCAGCACAGCAGCCUGUGGUAGGAGAUGGUAGCUCUUUUGACAAAAAACUUGGAAACUUUGUAAUUACAACAGUAGCUAGCUAUUGUGUUUUAUGUUAAUCUAUGGUCAAUUUACUG